GAUGAACGCUAGCUACAGGCUUAACACAUGCAAGUCGAGGGGUAACAAGAGAAAAGCUUGCUUUUCUUGUUGACGACCGGCGCACGGGUGAGUAACGCGUAUCCAACCUGCCUAUAACUAGGGAAUAACCUUGCGAAAGUAAGACUAAUACCCUAUGAUUUCCUUUGAUGACAUCAGAUUAGGAAUAAAGAUUUAUCGGUUAUAGAUGGGGAUGCGUCUGAUUAGCUUGUUGGCGGGGUAACGGCCCACCAAGGCAACGAUCAGUAGGGGUUCUGAGAGGAAGGUCCCCCACAUAGGAACUGAGACACGGGCCAAACUGCUACGGGAGGCAGCAGUGAGGAAUAUUGGUCAAUGGGCGGAAGCCUGAACCAGCCAAGUAGCGUGCAGGAUGACGGCCCUAUGGGUUGUAAACUGCUUUUAUACAGGAAUAAAGUUAGCCACGUGUGGUUAUUUGUAGGUACUGUAUGAAUAAGGACCGGCUAAUUCCGUGCCAGCAGCCGCGGUAA
rnacentral:rRNA from 1 species